GCUUGUCUCAAAGAUUAAGCCAUGCAUGUCUAAGUAUAAACAAAUCUAUACUGUGAAACUGCGAAUGGCUCAUUAUAUCAGUUAUAGUUUAUUUGAUGGUUCUUACUACUUGGAUAACCGUAGUAAUUCUAGAGCUAAUACAUGCAUCAACCCCCGACUUUUGAAGGGGUGUAUUUAUUAGAUUGAAACCAAUGCGGGUUCGCCCGGUAUUUGGUGAUUCAUAAUAACUUAUCGGAGCUCAUGGCCUUGUGCCGGAGCCAGGUCAUUCAAAUUUCUGCCCUAUCAGCUUUCGAUGGUAGUGUAGUGGACUACCAUGGCUUUAACGGGUGACGGAGAAUUAGGGUUCGAUUCCGGAGAGGGAGCCUGAGAAACGGCUACCACAUCCAAGGAAGGCAGCAGG
rnacentral:rRNA from 1 species